rnacentral:lncRNA from 1 species
GAGUCACUCUUAACAAGACAGGAGAAAGCAGUUUCCUGCUUUCACGCCUUCCCUUUUUUCUUUUCUCUCUUCCUUCCUUCUUCCGUUCCUCUUCCUUCCCUCCCUCUUGACCUUCCUCUCUCCCUCCCUUCUUUCCUUCCUUCCUGUGGCUCUCCUUUGUGAGUGACCUACCUCCGCUUCCUACUCUGUGACUUUGCACAUUCAAUCAUUGCCUGGCUCCACCAGCAGUAUAUAAGGUGAAAGAGGAUCCUGCCAGCUGUUCUAGGCCCAGAGGACACCUCUCUCUCUCUCUCUGUCACUCACACACACACACACACACACACACACUCUCUCUCUCUCUCUCACACACACCCACUUAUUGAUGGGGUAAUAGGAUCAAGAGGUAGCUUUGCAUCAUCAAAAAGAAGUCAGUCAUUCUAGCCUGGAGCUUUAGAAGACGAAGUAAAAAAGAAGUCAGACAGUCCUAGCUUUGAAUCCUGGCCCAGCCACUUACUAGGUGGGAGACCUUGGGACAAUCGUAUCCCUUCUGGGGGAAUUUCCCCACCUCCAUGUUGAAGCCAAGGAUGACUAGUACUCCAUGGAAAAGAGGUCAACAUGAUAACCAGGAGAUGUGGUCAUGGGGCAUUAAAAGGUUCGAAGCUGUUCCAGAAAGGAUGUCAUUGAUGUGGAAUACAGGAACUGUGGAUGCCUCCUGAAUGGGAGCUGCAAACGAUUAUCAGAGUCAAGCAAGAGGAAUGGCAAGGCAUGUGCUGAAUAACAUCACAUUAAUAUGGCUCUUAGCUACCUAACCCAUUAGGAGCCAUAAUUAGGAGAGUUUGAAACAGACUGCAAGCAUCUUCUCCAGAAAGAAGCUAGACUCUGGUGCUUCCCCGAGUGGCCCCCUGUGGUGUGGCAUGUCCGCUUCUCUUGGCAUCUGUGAGUAUAACUAUCUUUUUGAUAACAGUCAUCUAGUCUGCUGGCCUUGCUGUACCUAAAUAAUAAUAAUAAAACCAUUAACUACAUUUUAAAACAAGAAACCCUAUGCUCCAGAGGGGUUCCUUCUGCUUCCCAAACAGGUCCCUGCUUUCCUAUGCCCAUGUCUUUUCCUGUGCCUUUCCUCGUUCCCAGAAUAAACUUUCUCUGCCACAUCUGCAUCUUACAAUUCUAUCCAUCUUUCAAUAUAUUCUUGCUGGCAUUGUCUUGAAUCUCUGGUGACAAUAUAGACUUAAAGAUGAGAGUGUGAGGUUCAGAUUGGUUUGUGACUUAUACUAUAUCACACAGCAAGUUGAAGGCGGCAUCAGGCUCGAAGCCCAGCAGGCUUUCUUUGUGCCCCUUCCAAUCAUUCUAUUGGCUUAGGUCAACUGAGUGUGUGCAACAGAAAUGGAUCUUAGUUAACUUGAGAACAAAAGGGAUUUUCCAGAAAGAUGCUGGGGCAGCUCAAAG